GUGAGGAAUUUUCCGCAAUGGGCGAAAGCCUGACGGAGCAAUGCCGCGUGAAGGAUGAAGGCCUAUGGGUUGUAAACUUCUUUUCUCAGAAAAGAAUUAUGACGGUAUCUGAGGAAUAAGCAUCGGCUAACUCUGUGCCAGCAGCCGCGGUAAGACAGAGGAUGCAAGCGUUAUCCGGAAUGAUUGGGCGUAAAGCGUCUGUAGGUUGUUUAAAAAGUAUUCUGUCAAAGAUUAGGGCUUAACCCUAGAUAGGCAGAAUAAACUUUUAAGCUAGAGUUUGGUAGAGGCAGAGGGAAUUCCCGGUGGAGCGGUGAAAUGCGUAGAUAUCGGGAGGAACACCAAAGGCGAAGGCACUCUGCUGGGCCAAUACUGACACUGAGAGACGAAAGCGAGGGGAGCAAAUGGGAUUAGAAACCCUAGUAGUCC
rnacentral:rRNA from 1 species